rnacentral:tRNA from 1 species
GGAGGGGUAGUUGAGUCUGGGAAGAACGCUUGUCACAUGGGCACAUCCAGUGCCACGUGGACAUGAGAGCGUGGGUUCAAAUUCCAUCCCCUCCG